AUUGAACGCUAGCGGGAUGCCUUACACAUGCAAGUCGAACGGAGUGGCGAACGGGUGAGUAAUGUAUCGGAACGUGCCCAGUAGCGGGGGAUAACUACGCGAAAGCGUAGCUAAUACCGCACACUAUUGGAGCGGCCGAUAUCGGAUUAGCGAGUUGGUGGGUUAACGGCUCACCAAGGCGACGAUCCGUAGCUGGUUUGAGAGGACGACCAGCAACACUGGGACUGAGACACGGCCCAGAAUCCUACGGGGGGAAGCAGUGGGGAAUGUUGGACAAUGGGGGAAACCCUGAUCAAGCCAUCCGGCGUGUGCUAAGAAGGCCUUCGGGGUGUAAAGCACUUUUGGCAGGAAAGCGGUACCUGCAGAAUAAGCACCGGCUAACUACGUGCCAGCAGCCGCGGUAAUUC
rnacentral:rRNA from 1 species